rnacentral:rRNA from 1 species
ACUCCGGUUGAUCCUGCCGGACCCGACUGCUAUCAGAGUGGGACUAAGCCAUGCGAGUCAACGCCGCAAGGCGUGGCAUACGGCUCAGUAACACGUAGUCAACAUGCCCAAAGGACGUGGAUAACCUCGGGAAACUGAGGAUAAACCGCGAUAGGCCAAGGUUUCUG